rnacentral:rRNA from 1 species
GAUAAACGCUGGCGGCGUGCUUAACACAUGCAAGUCGAACGAAGUUUUUCCUUCGGGAGAAACUUAGUGGCGGACGGGUGAGUAACGCGUGGGUAACCUGCCCUGUACAGGGGGACAACAGCUGGAAACGGCUGCUAAUACCGCAUAAGCCCUUAGCACUGCAUGGUGCAUAGGGAAAAGGAGCAAUCCGGUACAGGAUGGACCCGCGUCUGAUUAGCCAGUUGGCAGGGUAACGGCCUACCAAAGCGACGAUCAGUAGCCGAUCUGAGAGGAUGUACGGCCACAUUGAGACUGAGACACGGCCCAGACUCCUACGGGAGGCAGCAGUGGGGAAUAUUGCACAAUGGAGGAAACGCUGAUGCAGCGACGCCGCGUGAGUGAAGAAGUAUUUCGGUAUGUAAAGCUCUAUCAGCAGGGAAGAAAAUGACGGUACCGGACUAAGAAGCACCGGCUAAAUACGU